rnacentral:tRNA from 1 species
GGUGGCUCAAUGUAGAGUGCUUGCCUUGCAUGCAUGAGGCCCUGGGUUCGAUUCCUCAGCACCA